UACAUCCCACUAAUUAUUUUUAGAAUCGGUAGGAGAAGAAAGUAGUGCAGAAAAAAUUACAAGUUCCUUAAAUUGCAGACUUGCAUAAAAAAAAUUGGGCAGGUGUACUGAACUGAGCCUCACACUUGUUGAUAAGGAGUAUCUUUCCUACCAAAAAAGCUUUGAAAAUGUAAUUUAUCAAGAAGAUCAGCCGAAUUAUUUUGUGUAUUAUAACGCCAGUGAGAAUUCUGAAAUCCCCUUACUUUCACUUUCAUUUUUAGAGGUUCCCGCAGACAGACGCAUUUUGCCGGAAAACGAAUCUGACAUGCCACCUCGAGAUUUUAACCAAGGAAAGACAAGUUGAUGUGUUUUGAUUUGAGGGGUCACUCACUACCGAACGAAAAUUAGAGACAUCGCUAUGAGAAGAAAUGUUAACAUUGUCGCCUAUGGGAAAACAAUUAGUGGACUGUACCCAUAUUAGGAAGCCUAUAAGUUUAUGGUGAUUGGUACAGGAAAAACAUGAGGUCCAUGCAGAUGGUGUUUAAAACUAUUGGCCAGCAAAUGCACACCCAUUUGAAUACAUCUUGAAAAAGAACCAGCAAAAUGUGACAGUCGGCAAAAUAUAGGUUCCCGCAGACAGACGCAUUUUGCCGGAAAACGAAUCUGACAUGCCACCUCGAGAUUUUAACCAAGGAAAGACAAGUUGAUGUGUUUUGAUUUGAGGGGUCACUCACUACCGAACGAAAAUUAGAGACAUCGCUAUGAGAAGAAAUGUUAACAUUGUCGCCUAUGGGAAAACAAUUA